CAGCAGCCGCGGUAAAACGAAGGGUGCAAGCGUUACUCGGAAUUACUGGGCGUAAAGCGUGCGUAGGUGGUGGUUUAAGUCCGUUGUGAAAGCCCUGGGCUCAACCUGGGAAUUGCAGUGGAUACUGGGUCACUAGAGUGUGGUAGAGGAUAGUGGAAUUUCCGGUGUAGCAGUGAAAUGCGUAGAGAUCGGAAGGAACAUCUGUGGCGAAGGCGACUAUCUGGGCCAACACUGACACUGAGGCACGAAAGCGUGGGGAGCGAACAGGAUUAGAUACCCCCGUAGUCCCUGUCUCUUAUAC
rnacentral:rRNA from 1 species